AUUGUACAUAUUAAAAUAGCCAUUCAAGAAUGCUGAUUUUCAGAUGGACGGUUUUCAGAAAGGAAAUACCAGAAAGGAACCAGGGUCCGACUGCGUCUAUUAGAUCUUGAACUUACAUCUAGAUUCCUGGGAGGAACAACAGAUACAACUAUACUAGAGGCUGAUGCAGUUCUCUUAGGAUUCCAAGAUGGCAAAGACUCAAAAUCAAAAGAAGAAUAUCACAAAAAAUAAAUGAACUUUGUUGCAUUCAUCAGGAUUGCAGUUAGAAAAUUGUGAAUAGUGAUUGAAUGAAGUUGUAAUAGAUGGAAACUAUGAUUAUAUAGCUCUUGUUAGAAUUUUUUAAAAUUGUAUUUCCCUUCUUUGUUUCCCUUAUUUUGUCCUUUGAUUGGGAUGGUAUAAUCUGUACUGAGAAGUUUUGUCAUUCAAUAAAUUUGUUUUGGGUGC